rnacentral:rRNA from 1 species
GGACUACUCGGGUUUCUAAUCCUGUUCGCUACCCAUGCUUUCGCUCCUCAGCGUCAGUAUCGGCCCAGAGACCCGCCUUCGCCACCGGUGUUCCUCCUGAUAUCUGCGCAUUUCACCGCUACACCAGGAAUUCCAGUCUCCCCUGCCGAACUCAAGUGAUGCCCGUAUCGACCGCACGCCCAGAGUUGAGCCCCAGGUUUUCACGGCCGACGCGACACACCGCCUACGAGCUCUUUACGCCCAAUAAUUCCGGACAACGCUCGCACCCUACGUAUUACCGCGGCUGCUGGCAC